UACGAAGGGGGGCUAGCGUUGCUCGGAAUCACUGGGCGUAAAGCGCACGUAGGCGGCUUUCUAAGUCAGGGGUGAAAUCCUGGAGCUCAACUCCAGAACUGCCUUUGAUACUGGAGAGCUUGAGUCCGGAAGAGGUGAGUGGAACUCCGAGUGUAGAGGUGAAAUUCGUAGAUAUUCGGAAGAACACCAGUGGCGAAGGCGGCUCACUGGUCCGGUACUGACGCUGGAGGUGCGAAAGCGUGGGGAGCAAACGGGG
rnacentral:rRNA from 1 species